GUGAUAGGUAAAAUUCUAGUAGUUGAGCUUCCACUUUGUUUAAGCCUAAGAGUGCAAUUCUGCCUGCUUUAAAUAUCUUUUAGAAAAAUUCUAGUUUAAUGUUUGAGAACAUUGGAGAUAAUGUAGAGUAACUGCAGUUCCUGAUUCACAUAUCACUAAAAUACCUAUAAGCCUUCACUUGUUUGGCAUGUGCAAGACCUUGGGUUCUAUCGCCAGCACUGCAAAAUUUUUUUUUUUUAAAAAGGCUGGGGUGGGAGGAAAUGGUGACUCUGGUAGAACAAUACCAAAAAUAGUACUGUGAGAUAGAGUUUUAAAAAAAUCCCAGUAUUUCAAAUCCAACAUCUAGGGCUCCAGGUGGAUGCAGUGGCACAGGCCUGCAAUGCUAACACCUCAGGAGGCUGAAGCAGGAGGACAGCAAGUUCCAGGCCAGCCUCAACAACUUAUUGAGACCCUGUCUCAAAACAGGACUGGAGAUGUAGCUCAGUGGUAUAAGCACCUUUGGGUUCAGUCUCCAGAAAAAGGAAAAAAAAAAGUGAACCCCAAAUUGUUGUUUUUUUGUUUUGUACUGGGGAGUGAGUUGUCCAGAGGUGCUUUAUCACAGAGCUACAUCCCCAAUCUUUUUUUUUUUUUUUCCUUUUCCUCCUUAUAUUAAGACAGGGUCAGGGCUAGGGUUGUGGCUCAGUGGUAGAGCUCUCACCUAGCACAGGCGAGGCCCUGGGUUUGAUCCUCAGCACCCCAUAAAAAUAUUGUAUCCAACUACAACUAAAAAAUGUCUUACAAAAAAAACAGGGUCUUACUAAAUUGCAGAGGAUCUUAGUUGCUGAGACUGACUUUGAACAUGCCAUCCUCCUGCCUCAGCCUCCCAAGGAGCUGGGAUUAUAAGGCAUGUGCCACUGUCCCUGUCUGGGAUCCAAAAUUCUGCUGCUGACUGCUCCUUUCAGCAGCUGAACAAAUGUAGACCUUGUCAGAGCCUGUGUACACAAAUGGACAUAAUUUAUCCAACCAGGCCUCAACAUUUGCAGUUAGAGAAGAAAUUUGAUGUAAGGAAAAGGAGAUGACUGGAGAAAGCCUAGACAGUAUAAAUUUGUCUGUAUUUACAAUGGAGAGAAUCUGAGUUGAGGUGAUUAUGUGUACAAAUACACAUUGGGAAAUAAGAUGUCACUGGGCACAUGUCUGUAGUUCCAUUAACUGGGGAGGCUGAGGCAGGAAUAUCAUAAAUUUGAGAUCAGUCUUAGCAAUUUAGCAAGACUGUCUCAAAAAGGAUGGAGAUGUAGCUCAGUGGUAAAGCAACCCUGGGUUCGAUACCUGGUACCAAAAUAAAUUAAAAAUGCCAAUGUUUCAUGGAGAUGGGUUCCCCUCUUUGCAAACCGAGUAACAGACACCAUCAACAGGAUUAUAUAUUAGUAUGCCACUACCUUAUGACUUCAAACUUCUCUAAUCCCUACCUCACUUUUUGUCUAGAAUCCAUGAGAAUUUCCCGUCUUCUCACCCAAUAGUUUAUCCUCCAUUUUUUCCCUGGUCCUUCAAAUUCAUAUUCAUCUCCAAAUUCCCAAAUUUAUUAAGUGUGAGGGACAUAAAAGUUAUAGUCACCAAAACCUUUCAAAAUUGUUUCAGAAUUGGACUUGGUGGCCCAAGAAACUCAGGAGGGUCAGGCAGGAGGACUGGAGGAUGUCAAGUUCAGGGAAGUUUAGCAAGACACCCUAUCUCAGAAUAAAAAAAAAAAAAGGGCUUGGGGCUGUGGGGCUGGGUUUGUGGAUCAGAGACAGAGCAUUUGCCUCACAUGUGAGGCACUGGGUUCAAUCCUCAGCACCAUAUUAACAUAAAUAAAGAUAUUGUGUCCUAUAACUAAAAAAAAAAUUUUUAAAGGGGGGGCUUUGGGCUGUAGCAUAGUGGAAGGGUGUACCUGGCUGGGCUCAAUCCCCAGUAUGUAUGUAUGAAUAAAUAAGUAAAUAAAUGGAAUAAUUGUGUUAUAUUAGGCAGGACUUUUUUUUUUUUUAAAUACACGACAACAGUGGAAUGCAUUACAAUCCUUAUUAUACAUAUAGAGCAUAAUUUUUCGUAUCUAAGCAUGAACAUUUACGUCAAUUUAUGCCAUUAUAUAUGUACUUUUUUUCAUUACAAUUCUUAAUACAUAUAUAUACCACAAUUUUUCAUAUCUCUGUAUAUAAGGUAUGUUGACACCAAUUCAACUUCAUACAUGUACUUUGUAUAAUGAUGACCAUCAUAUUCCACCAUCCUUGCUAAUCCCUUUCCCCUUCCCUUUCCCUCCCACCCUAGGCAGGACGUUUUUUGAAAGUAUAUGUAUGAGAGCAAAACUGUUUGAAUGCCAAAGGGAUGAAUUACAAUUUUAUUAAAAAUAUAGCAUCAGUUUCUCACA
rnacentral:lncRNA from 1 species